AUUGAACGCUGGCGGAAUGCUUUACACAUGCAAGUCGAACGGCAGCACGGGAGCUUGCUCCUGGUGGCGAGUGGCGAACGGGUGAGUAACAUAUCGGAACGUACCCAGUCGUGGGGGAUAACUAUCCGAAAGGAUAGCUAAUACCGCAUACGUCCUGAGGGAGACAGCGGGGGAUCGCAAGACCUCGCGCGAUUGGAGCGGCCGAUAUCGGAUUAGCUAGUUGGUGGGGUAAAGGCUCACCAAGGCGACGAUCCGUAGCGGGUCUGAGAGGACGACCCGCCACACUGGAACUGAGACACGGUCCAGACUCCUACGGGAGGCAGCAGUGGGGAAUUUUGGACAAUGGGGGCAACCCUGAUCCAGCCAUUCCGCGUGAGUGAAGAAGGCCUUCGGGUUGUAAAGCUCUUUCAGCAGGAACGAAACGGUCGGCUUUAAUAAAGUCGGCUAAUGACGGUACCUGCAGAAGAAGCACCGGCUAACUACGUG
rnacentral:rRNA from 1 species